GGGCCCUUAGCUCAGCUGGGAGAGCGCCUGCUUUGCAAGCAGGAGGUCAUCGGUUCAAUCCCGAUAGGGUCCA
rnacentral:tRNA from 1 species